GGGCUAUAGCUCAAUUGGUAGAGCAUCUGACUCCAGAUCAGAAGGUUGGGAGUUCAAGUCUCUCUGGCCU
rnacentral:tRNA from 1 species